rnacentral:sRNA from 1 species
UUAUUUGCCGACAUUUUUUUAUCUAAUUAUUUAACUUGCACAUAUAUUUCAGGAAUUGGAGCAUUUUUCCGGGACCUAUGUUCGAGAACUUUACAGACAAGUCGCGUUCAAAUUCUCAAAGAGAACAUAGUUUUAAUCAUCUGUAACUUGGAAAAGAUUUUUCCACCAUCAUUUUUUGAUGUUAUGGAACACUUACCUAUCGAUCUUCCACACGAA